rnacentral:tRNA from 1 species
UCCUCAGUAGCUCAGUGGUAGAGCAAUCGGCUGUUAACCGAUUGGUCGUUGGUUCAAAUCCAACCUGGGGAG